rnacentral:rRNA from 1 species
GUUAGGAAUCUUCCGCAAUGGGCGAAAGCCUGACGGAGCGACACUGCGUGAGGGAAGGAGUCCUUCGGGAUGUAAACCUCUGUCGAGAGGGGAAGAAACAGACGGUACCCUCAAAGGAAGCCCCGGCUAACUACGUGCCAGCAGCCGCGGUAAAACGUAGGGGGCGAGCGUUAUCCGGAAUUACUGGGCGUAAAGGGCGUGUAGGCGGUCAGGUGUAUCGAGGGUGAAAUCCCACGGCUCAACUGUGGGAAGACUCUCGAGAUUAUCUGACUAGAGGGUAGAAGAGGGAGAUAGAAUUCCCGGUGUAGCGGUGGAAUGCGUAGAUAUCGGGAAGAAUGCCGGUGGUGAAGACGGUCUCCCAGGCUACUCCUGACGCUGAGGCGCGAAAGCUAGGGGAGCGAACGGGAUUAGAAACCCUAGUAGUCC